GUAGUCUGCAACUCGACUACAUGAAGCUGGAAUCGCUAGUAAUCGCAGAUCAGAAUGCUGCGGUGAAUACGUUCCCGGGUCUUGUACACGCCGCCCGUCACACCAUGGGAGUCGGAAAUGCCCGAAGCCGGUGACCCAACCAAAAGGAGGGAGCCGUCGAAGGCAGGUCUGAUAACUGGGGUGAAGUCGUAACAAGGUACC
rnacentral:rRNA from 1 species